AUGCCUCGCGCGCUGCUACGCCAGGCGCCGGAUCCAUCGGCCAUUCAUGCACCAGGGAUGAGCUCGGCACGCGAUUCGUUUGUGACUUGCAUCUUCUCAUUGCUUCUGCAUUUCCCCCUCAUGUCCUCUGACGAGAAACCACAUCUUGGCGUGCAGACUACUGGGAGAAACUGCAUGGAGGAAGGCUCGCUCCUGGGAGAAACUGGGUGCACUAUGGUCCUGGAGCAGGAAGAAAGUGGUAGAGUGCGGUUUGAUGCCGCAUUGCAUUUUUUCUGUUUCCCUGAUCAUACAGUUUGGACAGCGAGCCUCCCUCCGUGA
rnacentral:rRNA from 1 species